rnacentral:rRNA from 1 species
UACGUAGGUGACAGUGUUGCCGGAAUUAUUGGGCGUAAAGAGCUCGUAGGCGGUUUGUCGCGUCUGCUGUGAAAUCCCGAGGCUCAACCUCGGGCCUGCAGUGGGUACGGGCAGACUAGAGUGCGGUAGGGGGAGAUUGGAAUUCCUGGUGUAGCGGUGGAAUGCGCAGAUAUCAGGAGGAACACCGGUGGCGAAGGCGGGUCUCUGGGCCGAUACUGACGCUGAGGAGCGAAAGCGUGGGGAGCGAACAGG